rnacentral:lncRNA from 1 species
AGUCUCAAGAUAAAGAUGAUAAUCGAGUGGUUGAGAUUCUUGUGUUUGCUCCACAUAUUGGCUAAUAUCCUCCUCAUAUUUUUCUUCGCUUAGCCACUGUAGACAUGGUGACAGUUGUACCAUAAAUUGGCUAAUAUCCUUCUCAUAUUUUUCUUCACUUAGUUUUUGAGUACUCAGACUUCCUUGAAUUAUCAGUAACUUUCUCUACAACUAGUUGGGGAGUCAAUUGUUC